CAUGUUAAAUCAUGCACAAGCAGGUUAGACAUUCAGCUGAUGGAACAGAUAGAUGGUUUUCAUUCACAAUGGAUUUUCUUCCCUCUCACUGUUUCUCUGCUACCUCAUUAACACUUGCACAUCCAUGUAACUACACACACUAUAUCCAUGAAUCCAACACACAUAUUCACUUUAUGCACACCCCACCUGUGCUUUUUUCCUCCCUCACCAGCAGAUUUUGCCAAUGAUGUACUUCUAUUUUUGUCUCUAAAUGCUGUUCAAAAUGUUGAACAUGUAAAAAAUUAGUUGUUUGUUUUGUUUUGUGUAAUCUGUAGAGUAAAACCUGUGCAGGCCAGGUUGGAAGACAUCAUUUACAUAGUACAUUCAGAACGUUUGACUUGUGAAACCAUAAAUGCAAUUGUUGCUCAGCUCAGUUGUACUUUGGUGUGCCUCGAAACCACAGCCUUAUGUUCGGACAAUAUCAGGGCUUUUACACAAUAAUACACACUGUCUUUGUCAUGCUUAUACCUGUCUUCUUAACCACAUACUACUAGUUUGCAAAGUGAUGGUGAUAAGAUUGUGUCUUGAGGGUGUCCCUUGACCUUUCUGUGCUCUGGUCAUAUAUAUAAGUCAGCAUUAACAGGAAACAAUGGGAAUUUUCAAUGUUUUAGUUUUAUAUGAUUUUUGGUUCAGCCUUUCACUCAUGACAAAAACAAUAGCAAAUUGUGUAGUAUUUAGUUGGAAUGUUAACAACAUCACAGGCUAAGCAGCUAUACAGUGGAACAAGCGAAUACCACAGUAAACUGCAUCUUAAGGAAAUAUCAAAAAUGUCAAAUGUGUCUUUUUAAAACAACUGGUUAUACAGGCAGCAGCUAACUUUAGCUUUCUUCGGUUUGAUGGCACCGGUGUCCACGAAGUCCAUGCGAGUUGAAUGUCGAUGAGGGAAUAGUUCCUGUUGUAAACUGAAGAACGAGCCUCUCAUCAACACUUCCAUGGACUUAGACACCAGAGUUAUGAAGAGGGAAGAUGCUGUCCUGUCGUUUUUGUCAUG